rnacentral:lncRNA from 1 species
UUUAGGAGUUAACUCACCUGGAGGGAAGAUUACAGUAGAGGCAAUGCGCAGAAAUCAACCAAUAAUAAUCCACAACACCAAAUUUUCAGCAGACCUGCAUGUUAUAGAGAUGUCAGGGUUAGAAAUAAUCCUUGGGAUGGAUUGGUUAGCUGCUAAUGGAGUGAAAGUAGAUUGUGAACUUAAAAGUGUAUCCAUAAGGAAGUCUGAUGGCUCUAGGCUGAUAUAUUUUGGAAGUAGAACCAGACCCAACAAUCCCUUAGUAAUGGUAGCAAGUGGACAAAAGAAAGAAAUAAAGGAUAUACCUGUAGUUUGUGAGUUUCCUGAUGUAUUUCCGGAUGAACUGCCGGGUAUGCCGCCUGAUAGGGAGUUAGAGUUCAGCAUUGUUUUAAUGCCUGGGGCAUCACCUAUCUCCAAAAGACCCUACAAAAUGUCACAUCCGGAGUUAGUGGAGCUAAAGAAACAAUUGGAUGAGCUGAAGGAAAAAGGAUUCAUUAGGGAAAGCAUGUCACCAUGGGGAGCACCGGUAUUAUUUGCAGAGAAAAAGGAUGGAGGGUUGAGGCUAUGCACAGAUUUUCGAGACCUUAACAAGGUAACUGUAAAGAAUAAGUAUCCAUUACCGAGAAUAAAUGAUUUAUUUGAUCAACUCAAGGGUGCAUGUGUCUUCUCAAAAAUUGACUUGAGAUCUGGAUAUCAUCAAAUGAAAGUGAAGGAAGAGGACAUUGAGAAGACGGCAUUUGUGUCUCGGUAUGGACACCAUGAGUACACUGUGGUUCCAUUCGGUCUAACUAAUGCCCCAGCUAUGUUCAUGAACUUGAUGAACAAAAUUUUCAUGCAAUAUCUGGACAAGUUUGUAGUGGUCUUUAUUGAUGACAUAUUAAUAUAUUCAAGAAGCAAGGAAGAGCAUGCUGAACACUUGAGGAUAGCACUUCAAAUCUUAAGAGAGAAUCAGUUGUAUGCAAAAUUUAGUAAGUGUGAGUUUUGGCUGGACCAAGUAGCUUUCUUGGGACACGUAAUUUCAGGAAGAGGAGUUGAGGUUGACCCAUCAAAAAUUGAGACAGUUGUGUCUUGGGCUCGUCCGACCAAUCCAAGUGAGAUAAGGAGUUUCUUGGGCUUUGCUGGGUACUACCGCAGAUUUAUAAAAGGGUUUUCGCAAAUUACAGCACCAAUCACCAAAUUGCUUAGGAAAGAAGCUAAGUUUAUUUGGACUGAAGAGUGUGAGAGAAGUUUUCAGGAACUAAAGAAAAGGUUAACUACCGCACCAGUGUUGGCAUUACCUGAAAGUGGACAAGAUUAUGUGGUGUAUUGUGAUGCUUCAAAAUCUGGACUAGGAUGUGUUCUGAUGCAAAAUGAUAGAGUGAUAGCCUAUGCUUCUAGGCAAUUAAAGACACAUGAAGUAAAUUACCCUACCCAUGACUUGGAGUUGGGAGCUGUUGUGUUUGCACUGAAAAUAUGGAGGCACUACCUAUAUGGUUCUAAGUGCACACUGUACAGCGACCACAAGAGUCUCAAAUACAUAUUUACACAAAAAGAGUUGAACAUGAGGCAGAGGAGGUGGCUGGAACUAAUCAAGGAUUAUGAUCUGACAAUUAACUACCACCCUGGUAAGGCAAAUGUAGUGGCAGAUGCACUUAGUAGAAAGAAGCAAUGCAACCACAUAUCCAUUGAAGGGUAUGGCAAAGAGCUACUGCAGGAUCUUGCAAAGAUGGGAAUAGAGCUGAGAGAGGCCACAUCUAGUGCUAAUAUAGCAGCCAUGACAUUUCACCCCACAUUGCUAGAUCAGAUUAAGGAAAAGCAAGCAAUGGAUGCAUUCAUCAAGGAGGAAACGAGAAGAAUUCAAGCGGGACAGCCUUCACAAUUCAGGUUGGACCAGGAAGGAGUUCUUUGGAACCAUAGUAGGAUCUGUGUGCCAGAUGACCUACAGAUCAAGGAAAUUAUUUUGCAUGAAGCUCAUGACACUUUGUACACUAUCCAUCCUGGGAGCACGAAGAUGUAUAAGGAUGUGAAGGGAAAUUUUUGGUGGCCUGGUAUGAAAAGGGAAAUCGCAGAAUAUGUCAGCAAGUGCGACACUUGUCAAAGGGUAAAAGCAGAACAUCAAAGGCCUGCCGGGUUAUUAAAGCCACUAGAGACACCAGAUUGGAAAUGGGAAGAUCUAUGUAUGGAUUUUAUUACUGGUUUGCCUAUGACACCAAAAAAGAAGGAUGCUAUAUGGGUUGUGGUCGACCGACUCACUAAGUCAGCACACUUCAUUGCCACAAACCAGAAAUAUUCCUUUGAUAAGUUGGCUGAACUGUACUUAGAGAGGAUAGUUACCCUCCAUGGUGUGCCAAAGACCAUAACAUCUGACCGAGGUUCCGUGUUUACAUCAAGCUUUUGGAAGAGCCUACAGAAGUCUCUUGGAACUGAGCUACACUUUAGCACAGCUUAUCAUCCUCAAACCGAUGGCCAGACAGAGCGGGUAAAUCAGAUCCUUGAGGAUAUGUUGAGAGCAUGUGUAAUGAACUUUGGAGAAUCAUGGGAUAAGCAUCUACACUUAGCAGAAUUUGCCUACAAUAACAGUUAUCAAUCCAGCAUACAAAUGGCUCCAUAUGAGGCAUUGUAUGGGAGGAAAUGCAGAUCACCUAUAUGCUGGUAUGAAGUUGGAGAGAGACCAUUACUUGGUCCUGACAUAGUGAGAGAGAAUGAUGAGAAGAUCCAACUAAUCAAAGAACGACUACAGAUUGCACAAAAUAGGCAGAAGAGCUAUGCUGACCCGAAUAGGAGGGUUAUGCAAUUGGCAGUAGGAGACUUGGUUUAUCUAAAGGUAUCACCUAUGAGAGGGGUUCGACGCUUUGGAAUCAAAGGAAAGUUGAGUCCUAGAUAUGUUGGGCCAUUUAAAAUUUUGGAGGAGAAGGGAGCAUCUGCUUAUAAGUUGGAGUUACCGGAACGUUUAUCAAGAAUUCACAAUGUCUUCCACAUAUCUCAACUUAAGAAAUGCAACAAGCCACCACCACAAGUAUCAGACUUGGAGAUUGAAUUACAACCAGACCUGACGUAUGAAGAACGACCAUUGAAGAUCUUAGAAGUUGAAGACCGCAAGCUCAGGACAAGGACCAUUCGGUUCUGCAAAGUGCAAUGGAAGAACCACUCAGUUCGUGAGGCGACGUGGGAGAAGGAGGAAGACCUACGAGUAACCUACCCCAACCUUUUUAAGUAAGUUUUCGAUUUCGAGGAUGAAAUCUUUUUCUAAGGAGGGUAGGAUGUAAUGACCCGUAUUUUUUUCGCAUAGUAAUUCCACUCUUAACUAGAUAAUUAAGUAGAAUCCAUUAAGCAAAUACAUAUCAGAUUUCUUCAACAAGCAUCAUAACCACUCAAGUAUAUAUAUUUAUAUUCAUAAACCUCAGACAGUAUAGCUGUAAAAGUGUAUUACAAAACUUGGGAAAAAAAAUUAGGGAGACCAUGCUAUGCUAAGCUAUAUAGUUGGACCAACACAAAAUAUCUCUGGGUCAACCAGAACAGCAAGACACAUGGACCACCACCCUCACGUGCACCAUAUCAAUAGUCAAUUGGUCAACAGUAUAGUCUAUGUAUGGGCUUCAACCUUCAGCCAAUUAGAAGCUAGCACCUGUGAGAACAAUGGAGAAGAGGAUGGGCAGCCAUACCAGCCAAGGGAGGUGGAUAUCAGAUAUUAGAUGGCAAGGAGAGCAGAGUAAGCAACUGCCAAGUUUCACUCGUCUCAGCUCUACCCAAAAUAGCCAGACCAAGCCCUCUUCUUCCCAGCAACACUAGCAUUCCCCUGUCCAAAACCAACAAAGAUCCAAGAACAAUAAGUGAAGGUGGUGACAUGAGAAAUCAUCAGUAGACUGAAGGGGACAGGCUAGAGCAAGAAGCUAGCCUACUGGACUAGGGUCUGGAGCGUAGGAGCAGCAAGAGUAGGGCCAACAGAGAGAACAGAAGAAGAAAGGUGAGUUCUUCCUCUUCUGCCAGUUCUUAGUACUCACAUACACAAAGAGGCCUAACCCAGAUGCACACACAAUAUUCCUCAAUGGAUUUUCACAAAUGCACAUAAAAGAUAAGCCAUCACAGUAGCAUCACAUCUCAGUUUAGGAAAUAAAAGUAUGAGGAAGAAAGGGGAUACAGCCUCAAAUAACUCAAAUAAAAGGGAUCAGGUUAUUGUACAGUAUCAGCACACCAUAAUCUUGAACAGGGAGUGAUGAACUUGUUCAACACACACAUGUGAGCCAAUUUAAUUUACUAAAUCUGAGAACUUGAACGUAAAAAAAAUUGGGAAGGGAACAAGGCAUCACUAACCUGCACAUAUGUUCGAUCUGCUCCAUGGCCACGCAUUGGAGCUCUAACCUGCACCAUCCAGCAUCACGGCGACGCCCAACACCGACCACUUCAAUCUGGAGCAGGGAAAUCACAUCCCCAAUAGGG